CCUACGUGAGGCAGCAGUGGGGAAUAUUGCACACUGGGGGAAACCCUGAUGCAGCGACGCCGCGUGUGUUAAGCAGUAAUUCGUUAUGUAAAGCUCUAUCAGCAGGGAAGAAACAGACGGUACCUGAGUAAGAAGCCCCGGCUAACUACUGGCCAGCAGCCGCGGUAAUACGUAGGAGGCAAGCGUUAUCCGGAUUUACGGGGUGUAAAGGUGGCGCAGACGGCAGCGCAAGCCAGGAGUGAAAGCCCGGGGCCCAACCCCGGGACUGCUCUUGGAACUGCGCGGCUGGAGUGCAGGAGGGGAAGGCGGAAGUCCUGGUGUAGCGGUGAAAUGCGUAGAUAUCAGGAGGAACACCGGUGGCGAAGGCGGCCUGCUGGACUGCGACUGACGUUGAGGCCCGAAAGCGUGGGGAGCAAACAGGAUUAGAUACCCGGGUAGUC
rnacentral:rRNA from 1 species